AUUGAACGCUGGCGGCAGGCCUAACACAUGCAAGUCGAGCGGAGCGGCGGACGGGUGAGUAAUGCUUAGGAAUCUGCAUGGUCGUGGGGGAUAACGUCCGGAAACGGGAGCUAUUACCGCAUCCUCUCAGCUUAGCCUGGGUCGGAUUAGCUAGAUGGUGGGGUAAGGGCCAACCAGGGCGACGGUCCGUAACUGGUCCGAGAGGAUGAUCAGCCACACUGGAACUGAGACACGGUCCAGACUCCUACGGGAGGCAGCAGUGGGGAAUAUUGGACAAUGGGCGAAAGCCUGAUCCAGCCAUGCCGCGUGUGUGAAGAAGGUCUUCGGAUUGUAAAGUACUUUAAGCUGGGAGGCGUUACCCACAGAAGAAGCACCGGCUAACUCCGUGCCAGCAGCCGCGGUAAUUC
rnacentral:rRNA from 1 species